GAGUUUGAUCUUGGCUCAGGAUGAACGCUGGCGGCGUGCUUAACACAUGCAAGUCGAACGAAGCACUUUGGACAGAUUCUUCGGAUGAAGUCCCUGGUGACUGAGUGGCGGACGGGUGAGUAACGCGUGGGUAACCUGCCUCAUACAGGGGGAUAACAGUUAGAAAUGACUGCUAAUACCGCACAAGACCACAGUACCGCAUGGUACAGGGGUAAAACUACCGGUGGUAUGAGAUGGACCCCGCGUCUGAUUAGCUGGUUGGUGGGUAACGCCUACAAGCGAUGAUCAGUAGCCGGCCUGAGAGGGCGACCGGCACAUUGGGACUGAGAC
rnacentral:rRNA from 1 species